GCCCGGCUAGUUCAAUCGGUAAAGCGUGAGACUUAAAAUCUCAAGGUGGUGGGAUCGACCCCCACGUCGGGCU